ACCCUUUAAUGUUUGAUGUUCUAACGUGGACCCGUGAUCCGGGUUGCGGACAGUGUCUGGUGGGUAGUUUGACUGGGGCGGUCUCCUCCUAAAGAGUAACGGAGGAGCACGAAGGUUGGCUAAUCCUGGUCGGACAUCAGGAGGUUAGUGCAAUGGCAUAAGCCAGCUUGACUGCGAGCGUGACGGCGCGAGCAGGUGCGAAAGCAGGUCAUAGUGAUCCGGUGGUUCUGAAUGGAAGGGCCAUCGCUCAACGGAUAAAAGGUACUCCGGGGAUAACAGGCUGAUACCGCCCAAGAGUUCAUAUCGACGGCGGUGUUUGGCACCUCGAUGUCGGCUCAUCACAUCCUGGGGCUGAAGUAGGUCCCAAGGGUAUGGCUGUUCGCCAUUUAAAGUGGUACGCGAGCUGGGUUUAGAACGUCGUGAGACAGUUCGGUCCCUAUCUGCCGUGGGCGCUGGAGAACUGAGGGGGGCUGCUCCUAGUACGAGAGGACCGGAGUGGACGCAUCACUGGUGUUCGGGUUGUCAUGCCAAUGGCACUGCCCGGUAGCUAAAUGCGGAAGAGAUAAGUGCUGAAAGCAUCUAAGCACGAAACUUGCCCCGAGAUGAGUUCUCCCUGAGACUUAAAGUCUCCUGAAGGAACGUUGAAGACGACGACGUUGAUA
rnacentral:rRNA from 1 species